rnacentral:rRNA from 1 species
AUUGAACGCUGGCGGCAUGCCUUACACAUGCAAGUCGAACGGCAGCGGGGGAGAAGCUUGCUUUUCCUGCCGGCGAGUGGCGAACGGGUGAGUAAUACAUCGGAACGUGCCCUGUAGUGGGGGAUAACUAGUCGAAAGAUCAGCUAAUACCGCAUACGACCUGAGGGUGAAAGGGGGGGACCGCAAGGCCUCAUGCUAUAGGAGCGGCCGAUGUCUGAUUAGCUAGUUGGGGGGGUAAAGGCCUACCAAGGCGACGAUCAGUAGCUGGUCUGGGAGGACGAUCAGCCACACUGGGACUGAGACACGGCCCAGACUCCUACGGGAGGCAGCAGUGGGGAAUUUUGGACAAUGGGCGAAAGCCUGAUCCAGCAAUGCCGCGUGUGUGAAGAAGGCCUUCGGGUUGUAAAGCACUUUUGUCCGGAAAGAAAUGGCUCUGGUUAAUACCUGGGGUCGAUGACGGUACCGGAAGAAUAAGGACCGGCUAACUACGUGCCAGCAGCCGCGGUAA